rnacentral:pre_miRNA from 1 species
CAGAUACUCCCUCCGUUUCAUAAUUCUUAUCAAAAUAUUACAUGUAUCUAGACGCAUUUUAAGAAUAAAUAUAUUCACUUUUAGGCAAAUUUGAGAUAAGAAUUAUGGAACGGAAGGAGUACCCU